AUACGGAGGAUCCGAGCGUUAUCCGGAUUUAUUGGGUUUAAAGGGUGCGCAGGCGGGAGAUUAAGUCGGCGGUGAAAUUUUUCAGCUCAACUGUAAAAGUGCCUUUGAAACUGGUUUCCUUGAGUGUAGAUGAAGUAGGCGGAAUUUGUGGUGUUGCGGUGAAAUGCAUAGAUAUCACGAGGAACUCCGAUUGCGCAGGCAGCUUACUAAACUACUACUGACGCUCAGGCACGAAGGCGUGGGGAUCAAACAGGAUUAGAUACCCUGGUAGUCCACGCAGUAAACGAUGAUUACUAGCUGUUUGCGAUACAAUGUAAGCGGCUGAGCGAAAGCGUUAAGUAAUCCACCUGGGGAGUACGUUCGCAAGAAUGAAACUCAAAGGAAUUGGCGGGG
rnacentral:rRNA from 1 species